rnacentral:rRNA from 1 species
AUUUAAGGAUUCCCUAGUACGGCGAGUGAGCGGGAAGAGCUCAAAUUUGAAAUCUGGUAGCCUUCGGUUGCCCGAGUUGUAAUCUAGAGAAGUGUUUUCCGUGCCGGCCCAUGUACAAGUCCCUUGGAACAGGGCGUCAUAGAGGGUGAGAAUCCCGUCCUUGACAUGGACCCCCGGUGCUUUGUGAUACACUUUCAACGAGUCGAGUUGUUUGGGAAUGCAGCUCAAAAUGGGUGGUGAAUUCCAUCUAAAGCUAAAUAUUGGCGAGAGACCGAUAGCGAACAAGUACCGUGAGGGAAAGAUGAAAAGCACUUUGGAAAGAGAGUUAAACAGUACGUGAAAUUGUUGAAAGGGAAACGAUUGAAGUCAGUCAUGCUCUUGGGACUUACCUCCCUUGAGUGGGGUCAACAUCAGUUUUGAUCGAUGGAUAAAGGCACGGGGAAGGUAGCACUCUCGGGUGAACUUAUAGCCUCGCGUCAUAUACAUUGAUUGGGACUGAGGAACGCAGCAUGCCUUAUGGCCGGGAUUCGUCCACGUACAUGCUUAGGAUGUUGACAUAAUGGCUUUAAACGACCCGUCUG